UACAAAUGGAGUGGGCUCGUGGGUCAAGGGUUUAGUCCCUCAGUUCAUGAUUCCAUCCUUCCUCUUCUCCAUCUGCUUUGGUGGCUUUUAGGAAACAUGCUCUGACCUCAGAAGGGGAACAGCAUCUCCAAGAACCAGAUGAAAAAAAGAGGAAGUCCCCAUCUUGGGUUUAAAGCACAAGUUUGGAGUGUCACCAAAAGCUGAUGUUACAAAGAUCCAUUUCAUUGGGGAAGAAGAGCACUUGAUCCAGCAAACAUAUUUUCUCUCUCCAUCCUUUGGAUAGCAAACACAUCAACAUUAUAUGUUAUUGACUGCUGCUUCCCUAGCCCUUGAUCUGCUGCAACCUGGCUCUGACAUGACUUCUACUGAAAAUGGAUCUUUAAAACUUACCAACCCAGCUAACCUUGCAAGUAAGUGGUAACUUUAGUGUAUCUUUUUUUUAAUUUCAGGGAAAU